rnacentral:rRNA from 1 species
ACGGGAGGCAGCAGUGGGGAAUAUUGGGCAAUGGGCGCAAGCCUGACCCAGCAACGCCGCGUGAAGGAAGAAGGCUUUCGGGUUGUAAACUUCUUUUAUAAGGGACGAAACAAAUGACGGUACCUUAUGAAUAAGCCACGGCUAACUACGUGCCAGCAGCCGCGGUAAUACGUAGGUGGCAAGCGUUAUCCGGAUUUACUGGGUGUAAAGGGCGUGUAGGCGGGGAUGCAAGUCAGAUGUGAAAUCCAUGGGCUCAACCCAUGAACUGCAUUUGAAACUGUAUCUCUUGAGUGCUGGAGAGGUAGAUGGAAUUCCUAGUGUAGCGGUGAAAUGCGUAGAUAUUAGGAAGAACACCAGUGGCGAAGGCGAUCUACUGGACAGUAACUGACGCUGAGGCGCGAAAGCGUGGGGAGCAAACAGGAUUAGAUACCCUGGUA